AACAAACCCUUCCAAAUGGCCACUUCUUGGCCAGAUUAUCACAUAAGGUUAAUGAUUUCACUUGAAUUAAUCACCACCGACUUAAUCAUGUACAAGAAAUAUUCUACAUACAUAUUGUUGGAAUAACUGUUCAAGAUAUAAUGAGAUAUGAUUUGAAAGUGAACAACAAUUUGAUCAACCAUGUGCAAAAUAAUUGGAAGCAAAAUGAAAAAGAAAAGAAAAAAAGAACACAAUACAAAACGAAAAACUAAAAAGUAAAAAAAUUAAGGCUGGGCGAUCAAGCGGGGUGAUCUCCCGACUUCAAAAC
rnacentral:lncRNA from 1 species